AGCAGGCCAUUCUGCUCUUGGUUUAGCAACUUUUAUAAUCUGGAUAUUCAUGUUGAUUAAAUACAGCCCAGCGUGCUCUGAAUCUUCAGGAUAACAUACACAUCCGGAUUCAGUUGUAUGCAUGUCAUUUAUUCAUGGCAGACAAAUGAAGGCAUAAUUUGUUUUCAAAAGAAGUCGAAGUGGAGACUUGCUGCAUUACAGACCUGUUAUAUCAUGUUAGCAGACAAAUAGCUGCUCUCAGCCCGUCUUCAUAAUUGGACAAGAAAAUGCAUAUCCACCUUUUCUAAUGCACUGAGAGAAUGGAAACACGCUAUAACAACAGAGAAUGCAAUCCACAUCUCAUUGAAGCCAGUAGCAAUUUCCCACUAAUUUUAAAUGUACCCAUAAUACCCUUAUUAUUUCUCAUCCACAGAGGAUGUUUUAGCGGCCUUGUACUUCAGGAGCGCUACACAGUUUUUCUUUAAAUAAAAAAACACAAGUUUAUUGUGCUGCAUUUUGAAGUAUAGCAAUUAUAAAUCAAUCUAAUCUCAUACCAGGUAAUAGUAAUUUAUCUCUUUGGUGCCAGAGGACUGGGGAGGGUAAAGUGUUCCAAACUUUACUGCAACGGAUGGAGAAAAACUCAAUGCUGUACUUUAUCCCACAAAUGAAACUUUCUUGCUUGGGGAUCAAAGUUGUUUUUAUUAAGGAUAGAGUUCUGUACAAAGAACAGAGAAUGCUGACCUCAGUUCUACAAAAGAACUUUAUAGUUUGGUUCCAGGAAAUGUAGGAAAAAAACAGGUAACGUUGUCAUAGCAACAAGAGAGAGAAGUUCUCUUUCAGAAAAAGCUGAAAUAGUCAUAGCCUCAAAUAAUACAAUGUCCAUAUAGUUCUUCAUGUCUUCAGUAGUGGGCAGAAGGUAGACCGGGAUCUACAGACACAUAUGAGGCCAAUGGGAAAGCUUGCUCUCUCCAGCUGUAAUAAAAAUCUGCCCAGUAACAGCA